UGGCUGCCGAAUAAGACCGAGUCUUACAUCAACAGACCAGUUUAGAAUGUGCCGGAUGCUGUGGACAUUGGACGACAGACUAACUUAAACCAGGCAGAGCAGGAAACUGUUGGAGUUGUUGUUCCCUCUGUGGCUUGUCCUCUCUCCUCUCAGACCUGUUCAACCCUUGUGGGACAUCGGAAAACCAUGGUCAAGACAUUUACAUGUCUGUACUGAUCUAUGCAUGUCAUCUCAGCAGGAUGUAACAAAAACUAACAAUGUGAACAGAUCUCAUCUGCCUUACAAAAUACUGCCCCCCUUAAGAAAAUAAAUGGCUAAUAAUCACCACUGGUAUUUUGUAAAGCUUCAUUUUUUAAUGUGUGACCAUUGAAUGUGUUUUGUACAAAAGACUGAUGGUUUUGCAAAGAUCUUUGAAACACAGAGUCAAGUGUAUUAGAUUCUGUGAAAUUCUGAACCACAAUUCAGAGAAAUUAAAAUAACUGUUUUUAAAACUCCUCAAAAGAC